UACGGAGGGUGCGAGCGUUGUCCGGAAUCAUUGGGCGUAAAGGGCGCGUAGGUGGCCCGGUCAGUUCGUGGUGAAAGCGCGGGGCUCAACUCCGCGUCGGCCAUGAAUACUGCUGGGCUGGAGCACUGUAGAGGCAGGCGGAAUUCCGGGUGUAGCGGUGGAAUGCGUAGAGAUCCGGAAGAACACCAGUGGCGAAGGCGGCCCGCUGGGCAGUGGCUGACGCUGAGGCGCGACAGCGUGGGGAGCAAACAGG
rnacentral:rRNA from 1 species